GUGGGGAAUAUUGGACAAUGGGCGAAAGCCUGAUCCAGCCAUGCCGCGUGUGUGAAGAAGGUCUUCGGAUUGUAAAGCACUUUAAGUUGGGAGGAAGGGCAGUAAGUUAAUACCUUGCUGUUUUGACGUUACCGACAGAAUAAGCACCGGCUAACUUCGUGCCAGCAGCCGCGGUAAUACGAAGGGUGCAAGCGUUAAUCGGAAUUACUUGGCGUAAAGCGCGCGUAGGUGGUUUUGUAUGUUGGAGGUGAAAUCCCCGGGCUCAACCUGGGAACUGCCUCAAAAACUGCAUGACUAGAGUACGGUAGAGGGUAGUGGAAUUUCCUGUGUAGCGGUGAAAUGCGUAGAUAUAGGAAGGAACACCAGUGGCGAAGGCGACUACCUGGACUGAUACUGACACUGAGGUGCGAAAGCGUGGGGAGCAAACAGGAUUAGAAACCCGAGUAGUCC
rnacentral:rRNA from 1 species